rnacentral:misc_RNA from 1 species
GUGAAUCAUCAAAUUUUUGAACGCAAAUUGCACUCUCUGGCAUUCCGGAGAGUGUGCCUGUUUGAGGGUCAGAUUAAUUAACAAUCUAGGUGUUGCGGGGUUGUGUUCGAUCGGAAUUGGGUUAUCUUUGACCUUUUAAUUAGUUUAAGUGACCUAAACUUUAUACUUUGUGCAUCUCAGCCGA